rnacentral:rRNA from 1 species
UACGUAGGGGGCUAGCGUUGUCCGGAAUCAUUGGGCGUAAAGCGCGUGUAGGCGGUCCGGUAAGUCCGCUGUGAAAGUCGGGGGCUCAACCCUCGAAUGCCGGUGGAUACUGUCGGGCUAGAGUACGGAAGAGGCGAGUGGAAUUCCUGGUGUAGCGGUGAAAUGCGGCAGAUAUCAGGAGGAACACCAAUUGCGAAGGCAGCUCGCUGGGACGUUACUGACGCUGAGACG